UACGUAGGUGGCGAGCGUUAUCCGGAAUCAUUGGGCGUAAAGAGGGAGCAGGCGGCAGUGCAGGUCUGCGGUGAAAGCCCGAAGCUAAACUUCGGUAAGCCGUGGAAACCGCACAGCUAGAGAGCAUCAGAGGAUCGCGGAAUUCCAUGUGUAGCGGUGAAACGCGUAGAUAUAUGGAGGAACACCAGUGGCGAAGGCGGCGGUCUGGGGUGCAGCUGACGCUCAGUCCCGAAAGCGUGGGGAGCAAAUAGG
rnacentral:rRNA from 1 species